rnacentral:rRNA from 1 species
GCAUAUCAAUAAGCGGAGGAAAAGAAACCAACCGGGAUUGCCUCAGUAACGGCGAGUGAAGCGGCAAGAGCUCAAAUUUGAAAGCUGGCUCCUUCGGGGUCCGCAUUGUAAUUUGCAGAGGAUGCUUCGGGUGCGGCCCCUGUCUAAGUGCCCUGGAACGGGCCGUCAGAGAGGGUGAGAAUCCCGUCUGGGAUGGGGUGUCCGCGCCCGUGUGAAGCUCCUUCGACGAGUCGAGUUGUUUGGGAAUGCAGCUCUAAAUGGGUGGUAAAUUUCAUCUAAAGCUAAAUACUGGCCGGAGACCGAUAGCGCACAAGUAGAGUGAUCGAAAGAUGAAAAGCACUUUGAAAAGAGAGUUAAAAAGCACGUGAAAUUGUUGAAAGGGAAGCGCUUGCGACCAGACUCGCCUCCAGGGUUCAGCCGGCAUUCGUGCCGGUGUACUUCCCAGGGGGCGGGCCAGCGUCGGUUUGGGCGGCCGGUCAAAGGCUCCCGGAAUGUAGUGCCCUCCGGGGCACCUUAUAGCCGGGAGUGCAAUGCGGCCAGCCUGGGCCGAGGAACGCGCUUCGGCACGGACGCUGGCAUAAUGGUCGUAAACGACCCGUCUUGAAACACGGACC